GACGAACGCUGGCGGCACGCCUAAUACAUGCAAGUCGAGCGAACAGAUGAAGUGCUUGCACUUCUGACGUUAGCGACGAACGGGUGAGUAACACGUAAGGAAUCUACCUAUAAGCGGGGGAUAACAUUCGGAAACGGGUGCUAAUACCGCAUAAUAUCUUCUUCCGCAUGGAAGAAGAUUAAAAGACGGCUCUGCUGUCACUUAUAGAUGACCUUGCGGUGCAUUAGUUAGUUGGUGGGGUAACGGCCUACCAAGACGAUGAUGCAUAGCCGACCUGAGAGGGUGAUCGGCCACAUUGGGACUGAGACACGGCCCAAACUCCUACGGGAGGCAGCAGUAGGGAAUCUUCCGCAAUGGGCGAAAGCCUGACGGAGCAAUGCCGCGUGAGUGAAGAAGGCCUUCGGGUCGUAAAACUCUGUUAUAAGAGAAGAACAAAUUGUAGAGUAACUGCUACAGUCUUGACGGUAUCUUAUCAGAAAGCCACGGCUAACUACGUGCCAGCAGCCGCGGUAA
rnacentral:rRNA from 1 species